GAAGAAAUACAUAGGUUGUGGACAUUUCUUAUUUAAAACAACAUGAAAACAUAGAAGCUUAUGGAGAGCCUUCAUUUUCUGGACUAUAAAUAAAUUGAUCAUAACAGCAUGCAUGGUGAAGUUUGGAGAAAAGGAGGGUUUAAAGAAGGUAAAAAGUGAAGGGAAAGAAAGCUCUUAUGGCUUCUUUUUCUCUUUCCCCACUUUCUAUAGUUCUCCUGAACUGUGCUCCUUUCCAGCCAUUGCUAAACCAUUACCAAUGUCAGUUUUCUUUUUAAUAGAGAAAAGAUCUAUGAAUAGUGAAGAUUACAACAUAUAUAAUUCCAUCCGUCCAUUCGUUGCCUUGCACAAACAGGUCCUCUCUAGUCUCAGCAAGUCUUGGUCUUCUGACCAAUUCUCCAGGGCGCCUUUAGCAAAAGAAGAAAAA